AAAUAAAAAGCCCUAUUUAAACAAAUUACAUAUAAGAAGUGUGGGUGCACUUAAUAUGAAAUAGGUAAAUUAUGGCUGAACAGACACAUAGCUCAAGUUUUGGAUUUGUUUUGGUUAGAACUUGUAGAAUUGCCUCUGUCCUUAACGGGUUAAAAUCAAAAUAAAUUUUAGUAAACAAACAAUAUAAUGUUUAAAAUACAAGUACAUAAUUUAUUUUUUAAUCCAGAUAUUCACAGUGAAAUAAAAACAAAACAAAAAAGGACAUUAAUACAUUUGUGAACAAUGGCUGUAACAAACAAUAAACUAUUGGCAUAUAGAGUAAACACUGGUUCCCCAAUCUACGCAGUGUAGUCACAUAUCUUUGCCUCCGCUCCAUGUCACAGUUUGUCUUAUAUUCUGAUUAAAUACUAUAGCGCACAGAGUGAAAGAGAGCAGCACUAUCUGUGAAAGGAUCAGCAAUAACAAAAUGUUACCAUUAACAAAAAGACUCAGAACAUUAGUUUUUCCAGUACAUUCACAACCGAUCAUGAUUACAAAAUACAAUUAAUUUAUAUUUCAUUAUUGAUUAACAUUAUUAUGUGAAUUGUAUUAACUAGAGAGCCACUUGUGAAUCCCUAACUUCAUUUAGAUUUUUGAUCUUCAGAUUGUGU